AACGAACGUUGGCGGCGUGGAUUAGGCAUGCAAGUCGAACGAGAAAGCUCUCUUCGGAGAGUGAGUAAAGUGGCGAACUGGUGAGUAACAGGUGGAUAAUGUGCCUCUAAGUGGGGGAUAGCCAUGGGAAACUAUGGGUAAUACCGCAUACGUUCUCAGAAUCAUAGGUUUUUGAGGGCAAAGGCUUCGGCCGCUUGGAGAGCAGUCCGCUCCCGAUUAGCUAGUUGGUGGGGUAAUGGCCUACCAAGGCAACGAUCGGUAGGUGGCCUGAGAGGGUGGUCACCCACACUGGGACUGAGAUACGGCCCAG
rnacentral:rRNA from 1 species